rnacentral:rRNA from 1 species
UACGUAGGGUGCGAGCGUUGUCCGGAAUUAUUGGGCGUAAAGAGCUCGUAGGCGGUUUGUCGCGUCGACUGUGAAAACCUACAGCUUAACUGUGGGCUUGCAGUCGAUACGGGCAGGCUAGAGUUCGGUAGGGGAGUCUGGAAUUCCUGGUGUAGCGGUGAAAUGCGCAGAUAUCAGGAGGAACACCGGUGGCGAAGGCGGCCUGCUGGGCAGUUGCUGACACUGAGGCGCGACAGCGUGGGGAGCAAACAGG